AGACAGUGUGGCAAUUCCUCAAGGACCUAGAAAUAGAAAUUCCAUUUGACCCAGCAAUCCCGUUACUCGGUAUAUAGCCAAAGGAUUAUAAAUCAUUCUAUUAUAAAGACACAUGCAUGUGUAUGUUCACUGCAGCACUGUUUACAAUAGCAAAGAUCUGGAACCAACCCAAAUGCCCAUCGAUGAUAGACUGGACACGGAAAAUGUGACACAUAUACACCAUGGAAUAGUAUGCAGCCAUAAAAAACAAUGAGUUUGUGUCCUUUGUAGGGUCAUGGAUGAAGCUGGAAACCAUCAUUCUCAGCAGACUGACACAAGAACAGAAAAUCAAACACCGCAUGUUCUCACUCAUAGGACGUGGAUUACUAAAAGACAUUAGAACGCUCACUGAGUCUUUGGAAGAAGUGAAGAAACAGGCUCUGGAGUGAGCUUCCAGUGCUCAGAACCUCAAUGCAGAACUGGCAGAGAAGGAAAUUUCUGUUCCUCAUGAUUCCAAAACCAUGUUGGCUUUCCUACCAUCUGUGCCUGCAGAAUUGAUGUCCUAUGCCCCACCUCCUUCCUCAUAUGCAUCACUUCUGUAUCUACAUAUCUGUAUGUGCAAGAACCCAAGUCACAUGACUGCACCCUGGCGGCAAAGAAACUGAGAAAUGUGGGAGCUUUGUAUGCUAUCUUGGGAAGAUAGGAUUCACACCACCGGGAACCAUCAUAAUGUAGAAGGAAUAGUAAAAGAUUUGGCUAACAGGGUAAACCAAAAUGAUUUGACUUUAAAAGGUUCCAACCCUUGAUUAAUUGUACCAGUCUGCCCCUAGCUAAUGUUUUCAGCCAUCAGGUAGAUAUGGGCCUGAGCAUCAGCUUCAGCAUGCCUGCUCCAAACAUUAGAGUCAUUUCUCCACUAAAUAUCUCAUCAGGGAAAAGAAUUAUCAUGUACUAAAUACAUUCUAAAUGUUACACACUGUACAAAAUGCUUUAUGUGCAUUAUGUAUUUAAUCUCCUCAAUAACCCCACUUCAAGGGCAUAAUUCCCAUUUUACAAGUAGAAAAAUGAGUGCUGAGAAAUUAAAUACUUUUUCUCAAAGUCACACAGUAAAAUGGGGCAAAGACUUAAU
rnacentral:lncRNA from 1 species